rnacentral:sRNA from 2 species
AGCGCCUGAACGCCGAGCCUCAACUCUCAGGCGCGUAGCCGUACCACCAUGGUCCGGUGAGGACGGGGGACCCACCGCCGCUCCGCGGCGACUGGUCACGGAUCCCGAUCCGCGGCCUUGGGGUGAAGCCGGUUCGCCGGCCGGGCACCUGACAGCCCGAACCCGACAGCUCACCCCGCAGGCGUUCGUCAGGAAGGAU